rnacentral:rRNA from 1 species
CGGGGGGGGCGAAGCGUUGUUCGGAAUUACUGGGCGUAAAGGGCUCGUAGGCGGCCAACUAAGUCAGACGUGAAAUCCCUCGGCUUAACCGGGGAAUGGCGUCUGAUACUGGAUGGCUCGAGUUUGGGAGAGGGAUGCGGAAUUCCAGGUGUAGCGGUGAAAUGCGUAGAUAUCUGGAGGAACACCGGUGGCGAAGGCGGCAUCCUGGACCAACACUGACGCUGAUGAGCGAAAGCCAGGGGAGCAAACGGGAUUAGAUACCCCGGUAGUCCUGGCCCUAAACGAUGAAUGCUUGGUGUGGCGGGUAUCGAUCCCUGCCGUGCCGAAGCUAACGCAUUAAGCAUUCCGCCUGGGGAGUACGGUCGCAAGGCUG